rnacentral:rRNA from 1 species
CACGUAGGGGGCAAGCGUUGUCCGGAUUUAUUGGGCGUAAAGAGCUCGUAGGCGGUUCGGUAAAUCGGGUGUGAAACCUCCAGGCUCAACCUGGAGAUGCCACCUGAUACUGCUGUGACUCGAGUCCGGUAGGGGAGCGUGGAAUUCCUGGUGUAGCGGUGAAAUGCGCAGAUAUCAGGAGGAACACCAGCGGCGAAGGCGGCGCUCUGGGCCGGAACUGACGCUGAGGAGCGAAAGCGUGGGUAGCAAACAGG